CUCUUCUUCCUUCAUAAUAUGAGAAAAAAACAGCUUAUCAAUAAAUUCUUGGACUAAGAGCAAAAGACAUUCAUAUCAUAUGGUUGACACAAAAAGUCAAAUAACCCCCAGUGUUAAUGUUUGACCAACUCAAUCAUUAUCGUUCGGUGAAAAGUGCAAAUUCCCCAAUAGACUAAUGGCAUUCAAUUUUCUUCUUUUAGGG
rnacentral:lncRNA from 1 species